rnacentral:misc_RNA from 1 species
CACAGUGUUUACACAACGAGCGGCCCGCGUGCGAGAAAAACACUCCCGGCGGAUUUCCGAGCGGUUUUGCUAAGGAAAGUCUGUAUACUGGCUAGGCUUGUUCCAAAAGCAAGAAUCAGCAUGACGAACAUCCACUGGUUUAGGAAAGGAUUACGUCUCCAUGAUAACCCAGCUUUAUUAGCUGCUAUUGAUGAGAGUAAGGAAUUACGGCCAGUGUUUGUGCUUGACCCCUGGUUUGUAAGAGAAAGUCGCACAGGGGUCAACCGAUGGCGUUUCUUGGCACAAACGCUAGUUGACCUGGACACAAGUCUCAAGCAGCUUGGCUCUAGGCUAUUUGUUGUUCGAGGGAAGCCUGAAGAAGUCUUUCCCAAAUUAUUUAAAGAAUGGAAUGUAGAGAAGAUGACAUGGGAAGUGGACACAGAACCUUACGCUCGCACUCGAGAUGAAAAGAUUGAGAAAUUGUCAAAGGAACAUGGUGUGAAAGUUGUAUGCAAAGUGGGACAUACAUUGUAUGACACUGAAAAAGUUAUCAGAACAAAUCUAGGAAAAACACCAAUGACUUUUCAAGGACUGGAUGGCGUGCUGAAGAAAAUAGGACCACCACCAAAAGUUGUUGAUAAGCCCGCCAGUCUCCCUGAGGGAUGUAAGAUCAGUUCAGAAGUAGCAGAUGAUCCUAAGUAUGAUCCCCCUACUCUGAAAGAUCUAGGCGUGGUGGAGAGCGACCUGGAGCCUUGUCUGUACCCUGGAGGUGAGACGGAGGCUCUUAAAAGGCUUGAAAAAUACAUGGAGCGGAAGUCCUGGGUUCGAAGCUUUGAAAAGCCCAAAACCUUACCCAAUUCGCUGCAGCCAAGUACAACUGUCCUCAGUCCAUAUCUUAAGUUUGGUUGCCUCUCAUGCAGAACGAUGUACUACAGGUUACUUGAGAUAUAUGGGAGUAGGCCUUCACAGAUUGCACAAGAGUCACUCUUAGGACAGCUCACCUUUAGAGAAAUGUUCUACACAGUUGGAGCAACAACUGCAAAUUUCGACCAGAUGGAAGGGAAUUCAAUUUGCAGACAAAUCCCCUGGAAGAGAGAUGAGAAGAAGCUGGAGGCUUGGGAAUAUGGUAAGACUGGAUUCCCUUUCAUAGAUGCAAUUAUGACACAGUUACGCAAAGAAGGUUGGGUCCACCACUUGGCCAGACAUGCUGUGGCUUGCUUCCUAACAAGAGGUGACCUGUGGCAGCCCUGGGAAGAUGGCAUGAAGGUAUUUGAAGAGUUGCUGCUCGAUGCAGACUGGUCGCUAAAUGCUGGGAACUGGAUGUGGCUCUCAGCAUCUGCCUUCUUUCACCGCUACUUCCGUGUUUACAGCCCUAUUGAGUUCGGCAGGAAAACAGAUCCUCAUGGUGAUUAUAUCAGAAAAUACAUACCAAAGUUGAAAAAGUUCCCUGACAACUAUAUUUAUGAGCCUUGGAAAGCACCCCUCAGUGUUCAGAAGGCAGCAGGUUGCAUCAUAGGCCAAGAUUAUCCAAGGCCCAUUGUUGACCAUCAGAAGGCCCGGGAGGAGAAUCUGAAGCGCAUGGGACAAGCCUAUCAAGCAGCAUGUGUUGGCAUUGGAUUAACAGAUGAAAAUGCAAAUGUAGGCCCUCUAGAUAUCCAGUCUGUGGAAGUGAUAGUCAGGGAGUGAUGUGAUGUUUUGCCUGUGUAUGCAUCUUCACUCUUCAAGGGGAAGGAAAAGGCAAACAAAAACAAGCACCAACAAAGAAUGGGCCUCCUGCAAAGAAGAAAAAAUAGAGACCUAGAAGCUUCAUCUCUUCAGAAGUUAAUUGAUGUGACAUGAAUACCAUGACAGUCUUCCCUUAUACUAGGAAAGAUUGCUUGUUAGAGAUACUCUUACCAAAAAUAAAAGAUCUGUCCUUGUUAAUUCAUUAGUGUUUUCUUUUUCUGCAAAUUGCAGACAAAAUCAAAAUCUAGAUUUAGGUUACCUAAGAUUUAAGGAAAGUUGGAAGGCUCUUAUGUAAUAAUCCUUACUGUUAUGACAGGGUAUUUUUUGAACAAUCAGGGUGACCCUAACCCAAAGUGUACAAGAGAAUGUGUUCACUGUAGUAUUGUUUUGUGAUAUCUCUGCACAGAGAUAGCUCUACCAAUGUUUUGACAUCUAUGUGUAAAUUAAAUUAAUAAAUUGAACUUAGUGGGCAUGGCAUGUUCGUACAUGCCAUCCCUAGUGGCUUCAGGUUAAUUAUAACCCAUGUGAUGGGUUGCAGAAAAAGUGCUUUGUGAAAUUGGGAAAUUUUUUCUGACUAUUCUCUAAAGAGGCAGGUGCAGGUGUUAAUCCAUAUUGCAGCAAAGUACUUAUUGAUGUAUUCUAUCCUUUGUACAAAGUAAUCCUCAGGGAUUCAUUAUUUUGGUUAUUUACGUGUUAAUGAAUUGUUUUAUUUUGUACUUUUUUGUUAUUUCUAGUAAAUUAUUUAUUCAAAA